UGAGCAGAGAAGAGGCCCUGGAGCCUAUGUGCAAGUCUGAGCUCUGCCACUUCCUGGGCUCUGUGAUCCUGGGGGUGCUUCUGAAGCUCUCUGUUCCUCAUGUCCCUCACCCAGAGAAAGGACAUAGGCACCUUGCACUUCACAGUGGGAUGAGUCAUGAAAAUGGCCGUUGCUCAUAGGGCUCUUCUGGUCAGUCUGCUCCCUCCUGAAGGGGCAACGAAUGAACGAAUGCACUCUGCUGUUGCCAUCACUGUAGGGUCUGCUUUGCUGAGGAAUGGAUCUGGGGAACUCUGAUGCAUCACAAGGGAGCCUAAACGGUGAUCGGCUGUGCCAGGCUCCCCAGGGGAAGCUAACACCAGAGAGGCAACGCAAUACGGGAACCCGACAUCACUGCAGCCAACGUGCUUGACACUGAGCUGCUUUGCUGAGGUCUGAAACAAGGGGAGCCUGAUUCCGCCUCUCCUCUGUCUCCCAUCUCACCACGACAUGCGAGACAUUGCUAACCACCACUCCCAGAGGAUCUCCUAUCCUUCUGAUCUUAGUGUAACCAAAAGUCAUUCUGAAUGGAUAAAGAAAAUGUGGUACAGCUACACAAUGGAAUUCUAUUCAGCUAUUAAAAACAAAGACAUCGUGAAUUUUGCAGGCAAAUGGAUGGACCUUGAAAAUAUCAUCCUGAGUGAGGACCACAGGUGACCAUGGGUAACUUGAAACCACGGACUGAGAACUACAGAGGAGCAUCCAUUCCCACUGCAAGGCUGUAACCGGACGUUAACAUGCUCAGUGGAGCUGCAGACUGAUAUGUUCACCAGCAACGAGGCCGACACAGCCAGCAUCACUGAC
ensembl:lncRNA